AAAAGUGUCCAUAACAAUUUGUUAAAAUUUAAUGAAAAAAAUAAAAUAAAUUUGACUAACCUAGUAGUUAUUUCAUAUUAUUAGUUUUCGAUGUGUGUAAACAAAUACCUCUGCGUACCUUUGCGCAUGCGCGAUGCGGGAAAUUGGAAACAUCAUAACAAAAAUGGCGAACACCCGAUCUAAGUGGAAGGGUCCUGAAUCAGUUUUAACCGAGAGCACGAAGAAACGAAUAAUCGAGAACGUGAUUUUAACUUCACAAAGACGAACACGUAUCUUAGAGACAGAGCAAGCAGAUGGCAUCAGUUAAAAAAGACCGAAGGGAUUAAAACAGACCCUCCUUUGGCCAAGCUAAUGCCUUGAACAGUUUUGAAAGCAAGCCUGAGAUCUAGAGCGUACGUAUAGAUCUGGUCAUAAAGAAACUGAAGCCAAUGAAGAUGACCACAGGCGACAUGGAGUACAUGCAGCCACUACGGACGACACUAUUACUAGUCGCACUUAGAUAUCACAGGAUUUAUAACACAAAAGUUCUUGGAGGACAAAAAGUGCCGUACAAGGUGGAAAGGACAUACCAACACAUCCAGGGACUCAUCAAUCUGAUAGUGGCCAACAGAAUAACAGAUAGAACUGGAAUAUCUAGCCAAAACCCUUGCAUCAAAUAGAUCCCAGAAGAUUCAAACUCCUAGCCCAUGCUCCUCCACCAUCUACUGCCCAAAUGGUAGAGGAGAAGAAAUCCCAAUUAAGAUGAAUGGGAAUAAUUGACAUUUUGAGACUAAUCACGUUCCAGAGACUAUUACUUUUGAAUAUCUGUCCUUACGUUUAGUAGCUGACCUGGUCUGAAGGACCAAGGUGAGUAUGCCAUACUGAGGCGUCCGGCAUUCGUCUGUCAACAUUGUCAACACAAUAUUUGAAUAACUUGAGUAAAUGUCAGAAUAUACCAAAUUUGAUAAAACUUUAUAAGCAGCCAUAUAUCGACAAGAUCUCAGACAACUUCAAAAAUAGAAAUUAUUGGACAGUAGUUUUUGACAGUAGUUUGCAGAGUUAUUGCCCUUUGUAAUGGUCUUAUUAUUAACAUUUUUUUAGUUCACUGGUCAGAAUGGAAACUCUUUUAGAAAUUCUACUAGUCCUGAACAAUUAAAUGGAUUUAAUGAAAUUUGGUCAGGAGAAUUAUGUGGCAAUGUUAUACUACUUAUACUUAUACUUGUUAUAUUACUUUUGAAUAUCUGUCCUCACAAGUAAUUUAUAAACUCUCAAAAUUCAUUGAUGUCAACACCCACUAGUGCUCAAUAGUCUUUAAUGUCAACACACACUAGUACUCAAUAGUCAUGGAUGACAACACUCACCAGUAGUAGUACUCAAUAGUCAUUUAUGUCAACACUCACUAAUACUCAUGUCAUAUAUGUCAACACUCACUAAUACUCAAUAGUCAUGGAUGACAACACUCACUAGUACUCAUUAGUAACGUAUGUCAACACUCCAUAAUACUCAAUAGUCAUUGAUGUCAACACUCAAUUAUCACUGAUGCCAACAAUUGUCAUUGAUGUUAAGUCACUAGUCAUGGCAGUCAACUUUCUCUAGUCAUUGAUGCCAAUGCUUACAUCUGAGCAAGACAAUAAAUACAAUGUGGUAAAUUC